GAUGAACGCUGGCGGCGUGCCUAAUACAUGCCAGUCGAGCGAACGGACGAGAAGCUUGCUUCUCUGAUGUUAGCGGCGGACGGGUGAGUAACGCGUGGAUAACCUACCUAUAAGACUGGGAUAACUUCGGGAAACCGGAGCUAAUACCGGAUAAUAUUUUGAACCGCAUGGUUCAAAAGUGAAAGACGGUCUUGCUGUCACUUAUAGAUGGAUCCGCGCUGCAUUAGCUAGUUGGUAAGGUAACGGCUUACCAAGGCAACGAUGCAUAGCCGACCUGAGAGGGUGAUCGGCCACACUGGAACUGAAACACGGUCCAGACUCCUACGGGAGGCAGCAGUAGGGAAUCUUCCGCAAUGGGCGAAAGCCUGACGGAGCAACGCCGCGUGAGUGAUGAAGGUCUUCGGAUCGUAAAACUCUGUUAUUAGGGAAGAACAUAUGUGUAAGUAACUGUGCACAUCUUGACGGUACCUAAUCAGAAAGCCACGGCUAACUACGUG
rnacentral:rRNA from 1 species